CUGGCCGCCUGUGCUCUGCUGUGGGGUGGUGAGCACGGCAGCUGGGCUCCAUGGGCCAGGCCCACAGGUGCCAUCUGAGCUGGGGGUUCCUGACCACAGCCACCAUGCAGAGAGCAGGUCUCCAGAGAACCUGUCCCCAGAGACCACAUGGAGGUUUUGAGACCCUGUGCCUGAGGAGUGAGCUGAAGAUCAGGAGCUGCCAGUGGCCACAAGAUCGAGGUCCCUUUCCCCCAGUAUCCCCUGGGCUGGAGCAGGAUGGGUCCUUCCCUAAACACACCAUGACCAUACUGGCUCUUGGAUGGUAGCUGAGAGCUCAGGCUCUGGCAUCGGGUGGGCAUGAGUCCUCAUUCCAGCUGUGAGAGCACAGGCAAGCCACUUCACCUCUCUGAGUAUCUACAUCAUAGUAUU